AGAGUUUGAUCAUGGCUCAGAUUGAACGCUGGCGGAAUGCUUUACACAUGCAAGUCGAACGGCAGCACGGACUUCGGUCUGGUGGCGAGUGGCGAACGGGUGAGUAACAUAUCGGAACGUAUCCAAUAAUGGGGGAUAACUAAUCGAAAGGUUGGCUAAUACCGCAUACGCCCUACGGGGGAAAGCUAGGGACCUUCGGGCCUGGCGUUAAUGGAGCGGCCGAUAUCUGAUUAGCUAGUUGGUGGGGUAAAGGCCCACCAAGGCGACGAUCAGUAGCUGGUCUGAGAGGACGACCAGCCACACUGGAACUGAGACACGGUCCAGACUCCUACGGGAGGCAGCAGUGGGGAAUUUUGGACAAUGGGCGCAAGCCUGAUCCAGCCAUUCCGCGUGAGUGAAGAAGGCCUUCGGGUUGUAAAGCUCUUUCGCAAGGGAAGAAAACUUAGCCACUAACAUUGGCUGAGGUUGACGGUACCUUGAUAAGAAGCACCGGCUAACUACGUGCCAGCAGCCGCGGUAAUACGUAGGGUGCGAGCGUUAAUCGGAACUACUGGGCGUAAAGCGUGCGCAGGCGGUUUUGUAAGUCAGAUGUGAAAUCCCCGAGCUCAACUUGGGAACUGCGUUUGAAACUACAAGACUAGAAUAUGUCAGAGGGGGGUAGAAUUCCACGUGUAGCAGUGAAAUGCGUAGAGAUGUGGAGGAAUACCAAUGGCGAAGGCAGCCCCCUGGGAUAAUAUUGACGCUCAUGCACGAAAGCGUGGGGAGCAAACAGGAUUAGAUACCCUGGUAGUCCACGCCCUAAACGAUGUCUACUAGUUGUUGGUGGAGUAAAAUCCAUGAGU
rnacentral:rRNA from 1 species